GACGAACGCUGGCGGCGUGCUUAACACAUGCAAGUCGAACGGAAAGGCCCUGCUUGCCGGGUACUCGAGUGGCGAACGGGUGAGUAACACGUGGGUGAUCUGCCCUGCACUUCGGGAUAAGCCUGGGAAACUGGGUCUAAUACCGGAUAGGAGCCAUUUUUAGCGUGAUGGUUGGAAAGUUUUUUCGGUGUAGGAUGAGCUCGCGGCCUAUCAGCUUGUUGGUGGGGUAAUGGCCUACCAAGGCGGCGACGGGUAGCCGGCCUGAGAGGGUGGACGGCCACAUUGGGACUGAGAUACGGCCCAGACUCCUACGGGAGGCAGCAGUGGGGAAUAUUGCACAAUGGGCGCAAGCCUGAUGCAGCGACGCCGCGUGGGGGAUGACGGCCUUCGGGUUGUAAACUCCUUUCGCUAGGGACGAAGCUUUUUGUGACGGUACCUAGAUAAGAAGCACCGGCUAACUACGUG
rnacentral:rRNA from 1 species